rnacentral:rRNA from 1 species
UGCCAGACUCCUACGGGAGGCAGCAGUGAGGAAUAUUGGUCAAUGGGCGGGAGCCUGAACCAGCCAAGUCGCGUGAGGGAAGACGGUCCUAUGGAUUGUAAACCUCUUUAGGCGGGGAGCAAUGCCGGGCACGCGUGUCCGGAGGGAGAGUACCCGCAGAAUAAGCAUCGGCUAACUCCGUGCCAGCAGCCGCGGUAAUACGGAGGAUGCGAGCGUUAUCCGGAUUUAUUGGGUUUAAAGGGCGCGUAGGCGGAUUUUUAAGUCAGCAGUAAAAUGUCCGGGCUCAACCCGGGCCGGCCGUUGAAACUGGGGAUCUUGAGUGGGCGAGGAGUAUGCGGAAUGCGUGGUGUAGCGGUGAAAUGCAUAGAUAUCGCGCAGAACUCCGAUUGCGAAGGCAGCGUACCGGCGCCAGACUGACGCUGAGGCACGAAAGCGUGGGUAUCGAACAGGAUUAGAUACCCGAGUA